rnacentral:RNase_P_RNA from 1 species
UGGGAGGAGAGGGUCUAGUCGCUGUCCAAGUUUUGCUUGGAGAGAGGAAAGUCCGGACUUCGAAGAAGAGGAUACCAGUGAAAUGCUGGGGGUCGUAAGGCUACGGAAAGUAUAACAGAAAACAUACCGCUGUUUAUUAUUAAUGAGCAGAUAGGCUGAAAAUGCUCGCUUUAUGAGUUUGAGCCACCAGAGGGUAACUUCUGGUUUUAAAGUUAUAAACCCUAUCCGAAGCAAGGCCAAACAGGGGCGAUAAAGAACUACUCUUCGUAGUAUGCCUUGGCAAGGUCGCUUGAGGGAUGCAGUGAUGUAUCUCCUAGACGAAUGACUGACCGGUUGUGCUUUAAAUUAAAGUACAACUUUACAGAAUCCGGCUUAAAAUCCUCCCAUUUU